AGACAAUGGAGGAGCAGAUGACGGCUGCACUUUGUAAACCGGACUUAUUGUUUAUUUACAAGUGUGUGCGUCCAUGAAGAUGUACCUGUUUUGUAUUGGUUCAGCCAGAGGGACUGCAGUGUAAUGAGAUCUUCAUUUCUUUGUAACUGUUUUGUAUUGGUUUAGCCAGAGACUGCAGUGUGAUGAGACCUUCAUUUCUCUGUUAACUUAUGUCGCAGCGGUGCCUGGAUAGUGUGACGUGUGUGGUUGUGCUGCUGCCGUGGUCCUGCCUGAUGCCUCCUGUUGCUGUUAUCAUUAGUCAUUAGUCAUACUUCUACUGUUAUUAUAUAUGAGUAUUGUCACAUAUGUAUACUAUCAGAUAUUAAUAUAUACUUUCAACAUAUUGUACCACAGUAGCCGUAAUUAGAAUUAUAUUAUUACUUUAAUUAAUGUUGUUGUAAGCUACUGUCAUUACCGU